rnacentral:rRNA from 1 species
CAGCAGCCACGGUAAUACGUAGGGUGCAAGCGUUAAUCGGAAUUACUGGGCGUAAAGCGUGCGCAGGCGGUUAUAUAAGACAGAUGUGAAAUCCCCGGGCUCAACCUGGGAACUGCAUUUGUGACUGUAUAGCUAGAGUACGGCAGAGGGGGAUGGAAUUCCGCGUGUAGCAGUGAAAUGCGUAGAUAUGCGGAGGAACACCGAUGGCGAAGGCAAUCCCCUGGGCCUGUACUGACGCUCAUGCACGAAAGCGUGGGGAGCAAACAGGAUUAGAGACCCCAGUAGUCCCUGUCUCUUAUAA